GUAGGUGGCAAGCGUUGUCCGGAAUUAUUGGGCGUAAAGCGCGCGCAGGUGGUUCUUUAAGUCUGAUGUGAAAGCCCCCGGGCUCAACCGGGGAGGGUCAUUGGAAACUGGGGAACUUGAGUGCAGGAGAGGAAAGUGGAAUUCCACGUGUAGCGGUGAAAUGCGUAGAUAUGUGGAGGAACACCAGUGGCGAAGGCGACUUUCUGGCCUGUAACUGACACUGAGGCGCGAAAGCGUGGGGAGCAAACAGGAUUAGAUACCCUGGUAGUCCACGCCGUAAACGAUGAGUGCUAAGUGUUGGGGGGUUUCCGCCCCUCAGUGCUGCAGCUAACGCAUUAAGCACUCCGCCUGGGGAGUACGGUCGCAAAGACUG
rnacentral:rRNA from 1 species